rnacentral:rRNA from 1 species
CUUCACCUACGGGAGGCAGCAGUGAGGAAUAUCGGUCAAUGGGCGGAAGCCUGAACCAGCCAAGUCGCGUGAGGGAAUAAGGCCCUACGGGUCGUAAACCUCUUUUGCCGGGGAGCAAGGGCGGGGACGUGUCCCGGCCCGGAGAGUACCCGGAGAAAAAGCAUCGGCUAACUCCGUGCCAGCAGCCGCGGUAAUACGGAGGAUGCGAGCGUUAUCCGGAUUUAUUGGGUUUAAAGGGUCGGUAGCCGGCUCUUUA